GAAGAAUAGGGGGAUGGUUUCUGGGUAACCUGUGAAGAGGCGAGAAAUAAAACCUGAUAGAAGAAAACUUGCAGUGGAGCUACUAAACAUGGUACAGCAUGCUAUUUUCACAAUGUAGAUGUAACCUGACUGCCUUCUUGUUGUUCAGCAUGAUAUCAGUCAGGGUUUCAGGAGGCAACAGGUGACACACCUCAGCUAGGGACAAUGGAGGAGGUCUUCUAGAGGGACAGUUUACAAAGGUGUGGUCAGUGUGUAGAAAACCCCCAGGGUGGUGCCGUUCUCCAGAGUCCGCGAUGAGCAGGCACCCAUUUGCCUGAAGGAGCCAAAGCAGCAAUUAGGUUUUCUAACUUUUUUGACUAGAAAGAAAGCAGAAUGGAGGUACAGAAGGAGACCAUUCUCAGUUUGGAAUUGAUGUAUUUGAACCAAAGCAAGACCUAUGAUGAGAAGCCAUCUCUGGAUCUGCCUGUUUCAAUGUGGGUUUUAUGUUAAGAAUGUGAUCCUUAACCCACUGAACCACCAGGUCACUACUGGGUUUUAUAUUUUUCAAUACAAGGGUGACAUGGUCAAAACACCCAGCUGAUCCUGUGCACUCCUGCAUGGCCCGCACUAUCCAGUAAAUGUUCUGGUUUCUUUACCCCUUUACAGAUGAGAAGCUGAGAGUCAGAGGAUGUCAUUUCCCAGGGAGACGCAGCUGGGGACAGAGCUGGGGUUCAGAUCCAGGUUUCCUGACUCAUGUUGGCGAGGUCCUCUCUGGGCCCUGAGAGUGAGGGGCAGCCCUGAUUCCAUGCUUUGGGGAUCCUUGUGUGCCUGAGCAGUUCAGGGCCAAGAUUAUCAGUAUUCGAUUGUAUAAUCUGUUUCAUGAUGCUCAGCUUGCUCAAGCCAGUAACAUUCUGACAAACCUCAGGCCCUUGUUCCACUCAAGCAUCAUCCAUCCACAUACUAUUGCUGUGCCAUUUAUUUUCCCCUAGGAAUUGCUUCGCAUGCCUCUCAUAGAAUGUACGUACGGCAGCCACUCUGUUCCCUGAUGUUCAGUCCUCUUUCCUUGCUCAGUUCGGCAGAUUGUAGACAGGGCUGGUUGCUGCCCAGAGAGCAGUGGUCUUUUCCAUUAUUCAUGAUGUUGGUGGCAGGUUGGUUGCCUUGGCCCGAACAGGCUUGAUUAAACUCACUGAUGGCAGCAGGUGCAGCUCCUCUUCCUGCCUGUGGAACUGGCCAUACCCCCAGUGCCAGCUGCGGUCAAGGGCUCUUGGGGUGGGGUUUGCCGAGUAAAGUCUCGUCUGAGUAAUUGGCAGCCUUCACUCUCCUUUGGCACAGCCAGGAAAUCCAACUGUGAUUAGAGCCCGGAUAGUGGCAGCCACGUCCUAUGGGGUUUAUUCUGGUGAUGUGCAAAACAUCAGGAUCAGAACGUCAGACCUCAGGCAGCUUGCAGAUUUUGGACUGCUUCAUUCACUGUGUCCCUCUCCUUCACCACCCAGUCCUGUCAUGUUAUCCUUCCUCCUCUUAGAUUUCGUUACUAAAUAGAGGACAUUUAUUUUAACAGCUAGUCUGUGGCCUACUUAAUCAUUGAGUCUUUUAUUUCAUGGAUACAUUUUCCAUUAGUUGCAUAGUCUCCAAACUUUCUAUUUCAUUGGCUCUGUUAUUUCCCGCUGUGCUUUUUUCUCUGGUAGUUUGCUUAGCUAACCACUAAGACCAAACUGCUGGGUUACCUUCAGUUUUUCAUGAUUGUAGGUGGUGGUGAAUAGCAUGGAAAUGUUACCCUCACAGAAUCCUAGGGGUGUCCUUCCAAGGAUUGUUCUUUCCUGGGAAGGAAAGCAUUCUUCUUUCCCUCAACAUAGCCCAGUCCAGUCCUUUCACUUCAAAGACCAGAAAGUGGGGCCCUGAUGUGUUUUAAAACAUUGCCUGUAUGUCUACCUGCUACCUAGUCCAUCCCUGAGAUGAUGUCUUUCUUUGCUGCUGAUGCCUGAUUGGCUAGGCAUGGAAGAAAGCAGGGGCUGGUAGGAAUUUCAGCAGCAGCAAAGCAUCAGAAAACUCAACAUAAAGUUGCUUGAGCAAAAUGUGAAUGUUUUGACCUGCGUCACUGACAAGUCCAGCGGUAGGUUUGCUUGACCUGCCUUUUCUGUUUCAAGUUCAGGGGAGGAACCUCUGCCUCCUCAGCAUUCCUGGCAAGAGUGUCUUUGUGUCUCAUUGGCUCCAGGCAUGUGAGUGAUCUGUCCCCGUCUCCCCCACUCCAAGCAACCACAGAUCAGAGGGGUGAUCAGGCCAAGGGGCAUAGACAGGGGGUGGGAUUAGCCCUAGAGCCAUGGGAGGCGAAUCCCUUUCUUUUGUGGGGACAGGGUGGUUCCUCAAAUGAAGAUCUUGUUCCUGAGCUCUGGGAAGAAUGGAUGCAGACAACGAAGGUCCAACAUAAACAUGCACUCAGCCCCUUAACUCCUGGAUCUGGCUGCCCCAUGAGGAUGGGAUGAGAAGUGGAGGACCACCAAGAUGCAUGAAGGUCACAGGAUCAGAGCUGUUCCAUCUAGAAGGGCUUUUAUAAAGGUCCCUGUUUCAGGUACUGAUUACUGCAUUAAAAAUCACCCUAAAACCUAGUAGCUUAAAUUAAGCACCUACUGUAUUUGAUGACUUGUGAGUCAGGAAUUCAGACAGGGUACCGAGCAGACGGCUUAUACUUGCUCUAUGGUUUCUGUAUCUCGGCUGGGCGCUGGCCAGACACCUCUCUCCCUCACUCUUUCCAAUGUCUCCUCCACCUCCAGUCUUUCUCUGUGACUGGCUCGGCCUGUGUCAUAGCCUGACAGCCUCCAUGAGAAUCAGUCUCUUUACGUGGAAGAUGAAGGCUCCCAGGGCGCUUCCAGAGACAGGAAGCAGAAGCUGCCAGCUUCCUAAGGCCUGGACCUCAAAACCCGCAGAGCAUCCUUCCAUGGUAUUUUGUUAGACAAGUGAUUUCGGAGCCUGCCUAGGUUCCAGGGGAGAAGACCACUUCCAUUCACGGGUAAAACACCCAGAUCCCCCAAAGAAGCAGUGAUUGACCUCAUUUCUCAGAGCCCGCUUACCAGAAAGAACAGGAAAACAAGCAACUAUGGGAACCAAGUCCACACCCUCUCCAGCCAGCAUGCUUGCCCUCACUGCCUCUUGCUGCCUCUCCUUUUGCUCUGUAUCCGUGAGCCCUGAGGCCCAGACCAAGGGUAGCUGGGGCAUAGAGCUUCCUCUUUGCAUAUAAGAUGCUGACACAAUGCUGCUUGUUGGUUUGGGGAAGCAGCUUUGCAUGGGCCUCAGGCCCCUUGGUUCUGCUGGUUUCUCCUUCCUUAGCCAAGAGCAGGGGCCUGAGCCCAUGAGUCCCUUUGAACUGGGCUAUAGAAGAUGUCUUUGCUUGUUGCAUUUCUCCUCCCUGGAAGGCUUGUGGGGGUCAGGUGGAAGGGACUGAGGGUUCCACAGCUUCUUGUCUCAGCUGCCUUCACCCCAGAGCUCUUCCCACUAAUUAGGGAGCCUCUGGCAUAUUCCUGUUUGUAAGUUAGUCAUUUCAUAACCUAAUAUGAAAUCAAUAUUUUCUGGAUUUAUUGUCUCCUUCCAACCCCUGGCUUUGUGCCAUCUGGGGUGCAUGCCCUGGGGAGAGGGGGUGAGAAGGAAGGGAAAGGGGUUUCUUAGGUCCCUCUCUGUUCCUCCUUCUCUUCUGGGAGGGGGCACUUUUUACCACCUUUCUGCACACAGGGCAUCAUGUCUGUUUCUAGGUAUGUGAGGCUGGAGGACAGAGAUGGUCAGAAAAUGUGCUUGUGCUUGUGCUUGGUGUUUCUGCAGUUUCCCAGGAAACCAGUGGACUCUUUUCUUCUGAAGAUGAGGAAUUUCUUCUCUCCUUCUGAGUUGUCUUAUACCUGGUGUGAGGACAGACUGUUUUUCAUAUCCCUCCGUUUCUUGCGAUCACCCGAGUGCCUCCAAAGCGGGUGCCGCCUUCAUGGAAAUGCAAGACAAUUAAGUUGGUUGAGAAUUCACUUACAACCUGGGACACCUGGAAAAGAAUAAGUUACAGUUCAGAAUCACCUGAGCAUGUGUGUGCGUGCAUGCUGAGAUGGACUGUCUUUAAUAUUACAAUCGGGCAAAAAUAAAUCCCUAAACCACACAUAUUGGGCUAGAGGGUAGGAUGAGGUGAGAGUAAUUAAAUGUAAACUUCAUUUAUUCCCUGCAUGAAUUCCCUUCUUCAUCGGAGAGCCAUCGUAUAACCAGAAGCUAUGAUCUAGUUGAUGUCCUUUUUGUUUUUGAAUCCUCAUAGCGAGACGGUACCAGCAGUAUGUUCAGUUCUUUCAGGAAGAAUGUGAUGUGGACCUAACACCUGUAUGUUGUAGUUUUAGUCUGUAUUUAAGGUUUGCAGUUAGCUUUCUGAACGUGGCCUUUGGGGAGAAGUUCUGGGCCCUAGAGAUGAACAGUUAGCUUAGCAUAGUGAUAUUUAAGGAAAAGUUCCUGGGCACAGGGGUCAGUGGCUCUGUUUCUCAGUUUCUGUGGAGUCGACUUCCUCAUUACCCUUGGUAUCAGCAACUUUCAGGCCCUUGCUUUUUAUUUUUACUUUUUCAUUCUUCAACAUUUUAUUGAAGUAUAGUUGAUGUACAAGCUUGUGAGAAUUUCUGCUGUACAACAGAGUGAGUCCGUUGUACAUAUACACACAUCCAUUCUCUUUCAGAUUCUUUUCCCACAGAGAUUAUCACAGACUAUUGGGUUGAGUUCCCCGUGCUACUCAGCAAGUCCCUGUUGGCCAGUCAUUCCGUAGACGUCAGUGUGCAUAUCCCAAAGGGCCAGUGGCUCUGUUCUCAGUUUCUAUUGAGUUGAUUUCAUCAUGAUUCCAACAUCUAGGCCUCUGCUUUUUAUUUGUAUGUUGCUUUUUAGGGCUGCACCCACGGCAUAUGGAAGUUCCCAGGCUAGGGGUCGAAUCAGAGCUAUAGCUUCCAGCCUACACCACAGCCACAGCAACAUCAGAUCCAAGCCGUGUCUGUGACCUACUCCACAGGUCACAGCAAUGCCGGAUCCUUAACCCACGGAGCAAGGCCAGGGAUCGAACCCGCGUCCUCAUGGAUACUAGUCAGAUUUGUUUCUGCUGAGCCUCAACGGCAACGCGUGGCCUUUGCUUUUUAAUGGAGGCAGAUGUAGUCAUAUAUUGGACCUAGAGGUCAUAUAUUAAACAUAGGAGAAUGGUGGGCGGUGGGGAGUGAGAGGGGGAGUGAGAGGGGCCUGCUGACCAGGUCUACUCCCUGAGCUCCAUCUCAGCUAUGUGCAUCCCACAUCUUCAGUUUUACCCUCAUUUCUUAAGACCCCCGCACUCAGAAUGUGAGGAUGUGGUUAUUUGGAACACAUGCAUGACGUACCUCAUACUUGUAAGAUGAAGGAAAGCAGCCUUGCUCUUUGUGCCCUUCCAGUAGAUUCUUCAUAGAAUAGGAGUAGUUUCCAUUGACUCCCGCUGAGCCAUUUUCCAGUAUACCUUCCUAGAAGUCCUUUUACAUGCUCCCAAAGACAAAUACACAGAGCUGUGAAGGCACGAGCACCCUGGGGGUCAGGAGACUGAGGUCUAACCUCGGGGCAGCCUCUAACUUGCAGGCCGCCCUAAGCCCUGCGCCGCCUCCUAGUGUCAUGGACACAGUUCGGCUCCCAAAGUUGUGAGAAUAAAACCCAGGGACACGCGAGAGUGCUUCACGAGGGGGGACGCUCUCCCUGCCAGAGGUUACAUAAUUAGGUCCCAAGAUCACUCCCUGCUGUCAUGUGUGACACACUAACACCCUCUUAUGCUCCUUCACUAUCGGGAAGCAGCUGUUAGUUUACUGUCAUUUCUGCUUCUCCCAUCUCCAUCUGCCAGAGAGAGGAGAAGCGAAUGGAUUGAAAAUCUGUUGUCAGAUGGUGGGGGAAACCAUCUGACGUGUCUUCUGUCUAGCUUUUCAUCCAUGAGUAUUUGAAGUUUUGAUAUCCCCCUUAGAACUGCAAGGUGGGUGUAUAACCAGCACGGGGGGAGGAAUCUAGCACUCCAGUUACUCUAAAAUGAAACAGUGAGGAUGACACAGUGCUCUGGGGGUGAGGGAAAAAUUGAAUACGACUUUUAAAAAUUGGAGUCACAGAGUCCCUGUGGUGGCUCAGCUGUUAACCAAUCUGACUAGCAUCCAUGAGGACACAGGUUCGAUCCCUGGCCUUACUCAGUGGGUUAAGGAUCCAGCGUUGCCGUGAGCUGUGGUAUAGGUUGAGGACGUGGCUCAGAUCCCGAAUUGCUGUGGCUGUGGUGUAGGUCGGUGGCGGCAGCUCUGAUUUGACCUCUACCCUGGGAGCCUCUGUGUGUCGCGAGUGUGGCCCUAAAAAGAAAAAAAAAAAAAAAAAA
rnacentral:lncRNA from 1 species